rnacentral:tRNA from 1 species
GGUACCAUGCCCGAGUGGUCGAAGGGAACAGUUUCAAAAGCUGUUUGUGGAAGCACAUCGUGAGUUCGAAUCUCACUGGUACUAC